UUUGCCCUCGUGCAAGCCUUGUAUAAUUGCAAAUCUUAUUAUUGAUUGCUUAAUUAUACUUGUUGUUGGAGUCUUGGGCGAACAGGGGAGGUCCUGUCCGUUCGGCGUCUGUUGACGUGGCCCGAACCCGACCAAAUAGGCGGGGAGCGGGGCAUGACAAAUUACCUCAAAGAAAACGGCAUCAUCUCUCAAUGGACUCCUCCUGGCACUCCACAACUUCAUGGAGUAUCUGCACGGAG
rnacentral:lncRNA from 1 species